UCAAAACAGAGAAAGGUAUAAAUUUUCUUCUGCCUCAGGCCACCUACUGACAAAAUGCACAGAAGGGAUGAGAUCUCCAGGCUUCCCAAGGGAAUCACAAUGGCCCACAUCACAAGUGUUAUUGAGAAUAUAGGGCCUGGUGAAGAAGCAGUCAGAACAGGACCAGCAAUGGCUUCUCUUAUUCUGGAGUUAAUUCCAACCAGACUCUAGGAAGAAAUCCUGCCUGUUGUUCUGGAGCAUCACUUAAGGGAUUGAGUCUGAAGAUCCAGGAACAACCCUUUAAAAUCAACCAGUACAUUUUACACCUCUGAAGAGCCUCAUCUCUGCCCAAAGUGAGAUGCUGGAAGACCAACAGGGUUUUAAAAAGUGUUAAAAAAAAAAAACAAAACCAAAAACCAAAACAAAAAUAAAAAGCAAAGCAAAC
rnacentral:lncRNA from 1 species